rnacentral:rRNA from 1 species
UUGGCGGCCUUAAUUCUUAUUAGAGGAACUCGUAUCUUAAUCCGAUAAUCCCCGUUAAAUUUAUCUUUUUCUCUAAAGCCUUUAUAUCGCCGUCUAAAGUAAUCGUUAAAACCCCAUUCCAAAGUAAGUACCCUAACACGUCAGGUCGAGAUAAAGCCCAUGAAAAAGGGAGCCGAGUUACAUAUAUUUUUUAUUUACGUUCUUUCUUUUAAAUAUUUCAGAAACAAGGAUUUAGUAGUAAUAAAACACUAAUAUUUUUUUAUGAAAAAGCCAAAAAGGUGUACAUAUCGCCCGUCACCCUCGUCCAAAGAUGAGGUAAGUCGUAACAAAGUUAAUGUACUGGAAAGUGCAUUAAGGG